rnacentral:tRNA from 2 species
GCGUAGGUAGCCCAACAGGCAGAGGCAACGGACUCAAAACCCGUCAAGUGUGGGUUCGAACCCCACCCCACGCA